rnacentral:tmRNA from 1 species
GGGGCUGAAUUAGCUUCGACAGAAGGACAUUAAAAGGUUAUUUAGCAAGUCGAAUUUACACGUUACGUAUUUAAUAUCUGCAAAUUAUAUUGCAAAAGCAAAAGCAGGUUUUGCUCAGUUAGCUAGCGCUUUCCGUGCACCUGUUCUUGCGCCAGCUCUAGUUUAAUUUUAGAGCCAUCAUGAAUCCUAAGGUAGCAUAGGGAGAGUGGUGUCAUAUUUAUGCUACUUAGUUUAUUAAAACUGGCUCACUAAGGUUUAAUGAAUGAAAUUAAAAAGUGGCGAUUUUGAGUAUUUUGUCAUUCUCAUAGCUUAAAAUCGUAUCAUCAGGCUGACUAUACUUGUAGAAGAAUAAUCAUUUACCUUUUGGACCGGGGUGCAAUACCCCGCAGCUCCACCA